rnacentral:misc_RNA from 1 species
UACGAAGGGGGCUAGCGUUGUUCGGAAUUACUGGGCGUAAAGCGCGCGCAGGCGGUUUCGUCAGUCAGAGGUGAAAUCCCGGGGCUCAACCUCGGAAUUGCCUUUGAUACUGCGGAGCUUGAGUUCGAGAGAGGGUGACGGAAUACCCAGUGUAGAGGUGAAAUUCGUAGAUAUUGGGUAGAACACCAGUGGCGAAGGCGGUCACCUGGCUCGAUACUGACGCUGAGGCGCGAAAGCGUGGGGAGCAAACAGG